rnacentral:rRNA from 1 species
CCUACGGGAGGCAGCAGUGAGGAAUAUUGGUCAAUGGGCGCGAGCCUGAACCAGCCAAGUCGCGUGAGGGAAGACGGUCCUAUGGAUUGUAAACCUCUUUUGUCGGGGAGCAAAAGACGCCACGCGUGGCGUUCCGAGAGUACCCGAAGAACAAGCAUCGGCUAACUCCGUGCCAGCAGCAGCGGUAAUACGGAGGAUGCGAGCGUUAUCCGGAUUUAUUGGGUUUAAAGGGUGCGCAGGCGGGAGAUCAAGUCAGCGGUAAAAUUGAGAGGCUCAACCUCUUCGAGCCGUUGAAACUGGUGUUCUUGAGUGAGUGAGAAGUAUGCGGAAUGCGUGGUGUAGCGGUGAAAUGCAUAGAUAUCACGCAGAACUCCGAUUGCGAAGGCAGCAUACCGGCGCUCAACUGACGCUCAUGCACGAAAGUGUGGGUAUCGAACAGGAUUAGAUACCCUGGUAGUC